CAGGUGGCCUGACAGUCCACAACAAGCAGGAUAUCAUGGUCAUUCCUAAAAAACACAAAUGGGGUUGAUUGAUUUUGCUUAAUUAAUCAUCCUGCUACCAAAAAAUUACCUCUGCUUGCCAUAUAUUCUCCNNNNNNNNNUCUCUUCUGCAUUAAUAAAAUGGAAUGAAGUUUUUGUACUUCCCUCUGUUUCAGAACCUAGACUAGCUACAAAUUAUCCCCUCUGCUACUAAAAACUUAGCUCUUCU
rnacentral:misc_RNA from 1 species